CAACAAGCGGGGCUCGCAGAGAGACGCCAACUGCUAUUGGAGGAGCCCAUCCCGGCCUCCCCUAUGCCUAGCUUCGGAGCUGUCAGUUACUUGUACAGUGCGAGCGAGAUUUUGGCGCCACAGCUGGGAGUGAGGCUUUUGUUCCACAACAAAAACAAGAGGCUGAAUGGCAAGGCUGCCAGCGCCGAGCCCGGCGGAGGCAGCCAUAAAGGAGCGCGCCGUCGCCACGGUUUGUGACCUGCCAUUAGCGACGGCUCCCUCGGCUGGCUUCUACAGGAGCCCAUGGAGGCUAUGUGGCAAAUUCCGUUUGCACCGGCAGCCGCCCUGCUCGGGCCGCCGGGGUGAAUGUGAGGCCCCAGAACGGGCCUGGGUUAGUCCAGGUGCAAGCGCACGUUGUCGGUGCGCCGCGGAGUCAUUUCCCGCGCUUUCUGUCGCCUCUGUCAGAGCACUUCUGAUGUCCCUCUGCGCCUGCAAGACCGUCUUUCUGACUGAAACAAGUUACCCGACGGAUUCAUUUAUUUCUGGAAGAAGAGCUAGACAUAAAAAACCAUACUGCAAUUCACCCGAAUAUGUGGUCCCGGGCUAUAAAUAGAUAGCGGGACACCAACUCUUGCGUUAUUUGAUGUCUGCAAGGAUGAUGAGGUCAUUUAAAACACAGCCAGAGCCCGCUUGCUUACCUCCUUUGAGAUAAGAAUCACGUGGGAAAACCGGAAUUCACAACCCAGAAAGCAGUCAGAGGUGAGCGUUCUCAUUUCAGGAGGGAUUCUUUAAGUUUGGAAGCUUGCGGAAUACUUGAAACUCUGCCGACCCCCCCACCCCCCCACCAAAAAGGCAAAAGAAACGUUAAAAGAAGGGAAAAAAAAUCCCAAAUCAAGGACGUUGAUAUCUAAAGUGCUACUAUAAAAACGUAUUCCUUCAGGUUUGGUCUGGUUUGAAUGAAUAUUCUUUUGAGGAAAUGAUGAAGUGAAAGACAGUCAUUCACACCUUAGCGGGAAUGAGUUGGUUAUUCUUUGUUGAGAGGAGAGAGACUAGUUACAACUGAGUUUCUGAAAAGAGGCAGAGAACACGAUGGGUGGCAAUAAAUGCGGGAAAAGUCUGGAUGCCUCAGAGGAUAGUUGGUUGUUGCUUCACAAUUCUGGCGAAAGCUGACUUCUUCUAAAAGACGGUUUCUGGUUAGUUUUCUUGUGUUUUGAUCUUGCAGUGGAAUUUUUGCAGUGAUGGAAAUGUUCUAUAUUUACCCAGCCCGGUGGCAGUCACGAGAUACAUGUGGUUAUUGAGCAGCUGAAAUGAAAUGUGGCUUCUGGGGUGGGCAUUGAGCACAGCACUUAAGAUGCCACUGGAAACCUUCAAGGCCCUGUUCUUCUUCCAAUCCAGCUUUCUGCUGAUUGCACAACUAGGGAGGCUGUGGGUGAUGGCUCAACUGCUUGGGUGCCUGCCACCCAUGUGGGAGAUCUGAAUAGAGUUCUCCUGGCUUCAGCCUGGCCCUGACCUCUGCUGUGGUACUGUUGUAGGCAUUUGAGCCAGCAGAUUUCUCCCUUUCUCUCUGUCACUCUGCCUUUCAAAUAAAUCAAACACAUAUAUAAAGCAAACAAAUAAAAAAAUGUGGCUGCUGUGAUUUAGAAUUUUACUUUUUAAUUUAACACCCUCGUGUGACUGAUGGCUCAUCUUGAACAACACAGCUUUAGAAGAUUUUAGAAGUUGGGGUGUCUUUGUAUCUUCAGGAAUAAAGAACAAAGUUAGUGCGGUGGGCAGCUGUCUGGGAUUCACACCUCUACUGAGGCCCCCCACUUAGAGGCUAGAUCUGGCAACUUGCUUCCAGCAGUAGAAUCUGGCCCAUAUGAUGGGAUGUCACUUCCAAGAUCAGGUUACGAAGAGACUGGCUCUGCCCUGGGUGUCCUCGUUAGCUGUAUUCUCAUUGGCCACGUCGUCAGCUGCACUAUGGAGAAGUCACUCUGGCAAGGAACCACUGUCUUCAGUUCACAGCCAACAAGGAUCUGAGGCCAUUGUCCCAACAACUGUCAAAGAACUAAGUGCUGCCAACAUCCACAGGCACGAGCUGCAGAGUGGAUUUUCUACCAGUUCAGCCUUGAGAGGACCGAGGCCCUGACUGUCAAUACGAAGAACUCUGAACUAAAGACCCCCAGGGAAUAGAAAAUAGAUAUUAGCUGCCUGACGCACAGUAGGCCUGGUUAAUCCCCAAGAAGAUUUGGACAACUGGAGAUGCAAAGUUCACUGUGGCUCAGCCAUCAACUUAUUAGACACACCCAGAGGAGGCUGUGGAUUGUGAACAUAUUUUAGAGCUUGGGAUAAUGGAUGUGUCCUCAAGAAAGCCAAGCUCUACAUUACAAAUCUUCAGUAAUCAAUGAGCCCUCCAGAGCUACAUCACAACAAGAACUUCUCAAGCAGUGGCAAAAAGGUAUAGUGUACCUCACACUUAGAGUUCAAGUGACAGUAGGUGGAAAAAGACAAUGUACAUUUUGAUAAGGAAAGUGCUUAAAACAUCAGGAAGAAUUUCAUUCUGGGGCACUUCAAUGACAAGGGCUCUUCCAGUUGCUGUCCAGCAGAAUCAAAUAUGGGCUUUCAUUCAAUGAACAAAGACUGUCCUGGGACCCUUUGCAGCACGGAGAUGUAAGUUAACCUUAACACGUGAGUGUCUGUGAACAUCUAUGCAGUGCGGUUCUAUUCAGACCAGGUUUUCUAUCUAAGGCCUCUCCUGCCUAUGGUGACACGCUAUUUUCAGGUUCUAGUAUACGUGCGCUGGUUCUCACCUGUCAC